UACAGAGGCGGCAAGCGUUGUUCGGAAUUAUUGGGCGUAAAGAGCACGUAGGCGGCCUCGUAAGUCAGUUGUGAAAGCCUUCUGCUUAACGGAAGAACAGCAUCUGAUACUGCGAGGCUAGAGUGCGGGAGGGGAGAGUGGAACUUCUGGUGGAGCGGUGAAAUGCGUAGAUAUCAGAAGGAACACCGGCGGCGAAAGCGACUCUCUGGCCCGUAACUGACGCUGAGUGUGCGAAAGCUAGGGGAGCAAACGGG
rnacentral:rRNA from 1 species